rnacentral:rRNA from 1 species
CAGCAGCCACGGGAAUACAGAGGGUGCGAGCGUUAAUCGGAUUUACUGGGCGUAAAGCGUGCGUAGGCGGCUUUUUAAGUCGGAUGUGAAAUCCCUGAGCUUAACUUAGGAAUUGCAUUCGAUACUGGGAAGCUAGAGUAUGGGAGAGGAUGGUAGAAUUCCAGGUGUAGCGGUGAAAUGCGUAGAGAUCUGGAGGAAUACCGAUGGCGAAGGCAGCCAUCUGGCCUAAUACUGACGCUGAGGUACGAAAGCAUGGGGAGCAAACAGGAUUAGAGACCCGUGUAGUCCCUGUCUCUUAUAC